GUACCUCUCUCAGCCUUUUAGCUAAGAUAAAGUGCAGUAUCUACAAUUUAAUUUCUGGUAUAUGUGGGCUAUAUGUCCACUUUUAAUUUGUUUUUUGUGGGAAGGGUUCACUUUAAUUUUAAAUUUAUUUUUAAUGUAGAUGGCCCAUCACACCGCUUGCCACUAGACCUUGGAUGUCGUACAACUGUUGCACUAUACCAUCAAAUAUGAUUGGUGUACCGCCA
rnacentral:snRNA from 1 species